GAAAUACUUUCCGUAAAAAUAAAAUUAAAAUAAGGAAAUAUAAAGAAAUUUAACAUAGGAAUAUAAAUAGUUCUAACCCUAAUUUUCUCUCUAGCUGCUUCAACAGUAGCCGCCGGAAUUCAACGCGAAUUCAAACACCGAUUUCUAACGGUUACCACCGGAGACUUCAAAGUUCAACGUUGCUGGAACAAUGAGGAUCAAGUAUAAAGUAGGGGGGAAGUGGUAUGGUGCUUCUAUCCAGCCUAUAGCAGCCGUCAUCUCGCCGCCAUGGACCAUGAAAUGAAGUUGAGAUGAGGAUAUUUAACUCAAUAACUGAAGGUAACCAGUUUGACGAGAAGCUGUUCAUAAGUCAUCCCCUUGCAGAUGACUUAGAUCGAUCUCUAAAAUCGAUAAGGAGGGUCAUACACCAAAGAAAAAAGGAGCUACAAAUUGAAAAGGUAUGUAUAAUUUUGUUGUUUUUGAUUUGCAGAUUUGUUUUUUGGUAUGUUUUGUUUUGAUGUGAUGCCCUAGAGAAUCAUUUACAAGGUGUAAUUUCCUUACAAUUAAUUCAUCUGAAACUACAUCAGUUAGCUAUUUUAAUACGAAGAGAAAGGCAUUGUUACAUAUCAUUUUAAAAGUUCAAAACAUCAAUUACAUGUCAUUUACAAGAUCAUUACCUAAUGGACAAAAGAAACUUGGUACACCUUUUUUAAGAAUUUUAACAUAGGUGUGUAUUUUUAUGUCUUUCUUAAAUUUUGAUAAGUUAGUGAUUUACAUGGUUUAAUAUAUUUUGAAUAUUCUAUUAUGAGUAUAGUUUAGUAUUUUGGUUCAUUGGCUUUGAUAGAUUCACGUUGUGAUAAGCUCAUUGUGUUGCCACUGAUAUGUUAAUUUAUUUGUUUCGGUUAUAUUGGUUUACUAUUAUAAAGUUAGCACAUGAGUAAAUAUUUGAAGUGAUACAUGUUGCAAUUGCAAGGUUCAAAGAACUUAAUAAAAUUGUGACUUUAUCCUGUCAUUAAUGUAAAGCACAACAAACGAAUAAACUAAUUCACUGCAUCUAUUUCCAAGGCCAAAAUGGUGUAGAUAGGCAAUAGAUAGUCAUAGGUUGGCUGUAAUGGUUCUUAAUUCUUAUUUGCAUUGUUUUGUUUGUUUGUUUGUUUGUUUGUUGUGAAAUUGACGCUUUGUAAAGUGCUUUCAUGGUUUAGGUUUAAUGGUAUGUUUCUUUUUCUUUCCUGUUAAAUUUUUGUUUUCUCUACUUGCUAUCCAAUUUAUAACUUAGUUACAUUGGCAAUUAAGAGAAAUUAUAGACUAAAAAACUAUCAUUUUAGUCAAGUUUGAUUGUCAAUUCACUUAUGAUGAUAUAUUUAGUGAAUUUUUAUAAUCAUGUUGUUGUCUAUUGCUUUUUUUUUUUGCGCAUGAAAAUGGUUAUUUAUUUCACUUUAAUUGUACUUUUUGCUCCAAAAUCAUUUGAAAUCUUCCUAUCAUGUACUUUUAGUUUCAGUCUGUUAUUUGAACUGAUUAUUUGAAUGAGAGAAUGAUUUUACAUGAUUAAUGCUUCAUUAUCUUUUGUUUGUUGCAAUCUUUAGAAAUUUAGAUAUAUACAUAAAUUAAUUUGGAGGUUUGCCUUCAUUUGUUUUUGCUUGAUGUUGGAAUUUUGGAUAAAGAUUUUAGAAUUUGUUUUUUUUAUAUGUUUUACUCUUGCCAUGAGUUUUUUAUGUUUUUGCUUGAUGUUGUAAUUUUGGAUAAAGAUCUUAGAAUUUGUUUUUUAUAUGUUUUACUUUUGCCAUGAGUAUAGUUUAGUAUUUUGGUUCAUUGGCUUUGAUAGAUUCGCGCUGUGAUAAGCUCAUUGUACUGUCACUAAUAUGUUAAUUUAUUUGUUUCGGUUAUAUUGGUUUUCUACCUAAUUAUUUUUUAUUUAACUCAGGUUAUUGACAAGACAAAGAAAAAAUGGACCGUUGAGGAGGACAAAGCUAUUGAGGCCGCAAUUACUACGUAUGGGCCAAAAAUCAAGAAGAUAAUAAAGGAUAAUGUAUUACAUGCAGCACUUGCAGAUAAAUCUGUAAAAGAAAUCGAGAAAAGGAUUGCCAAGUUUGACAUAGAAGAUCUAAGGAAGUGUAGAGGAGGAACAAAGAUGAGUCCAUCAAAACCAACUACAACUCUUAGUGUUCAUGCCUAACCAGCCUUGCAGUGAGGGUUGUUUUCAAACAUGAUCAUGUUGUUAAGUACAUUAAUGCUGGAGGUGUGGAAGUGUUUUCAAGACCACGAAUGUCGGGUCUGAAAACACUUCCACACCUCCAGCAUUAAUGUACUUAACAACUUGAUCAUGUUUGAAAACAACCCUCACUGCAACCAGCGGGGCUGCCUGGGCAUGAACACAAAGAGUUGUAGUCGGUUUUGAUGGACUCAUCGUUGUUCCUCAUCUACGCUUCCUUAGAUCUUCUAUGACAAACUUGGCAAUUCUUUUCUCGAUUUCUUUUACAGAUUUAUCUGCAAGUGUUGCAUGUAAUACAUUAUCCUUUAUUAUCUUCUUGAUUUUUGGCCCAUACGUAGUAAUUGCGGCCUCAAUAGCUUUGUCCUCCUCAACGGUCCAUUUUUUCUUUGUCUUGUCAAUAACCUGAGUUAAAUAAAAAAUAAUUAGGUAGAAAACCAAUAUAACCGAAACAAAUAAAUUAACAUAUUAGUGACAACACAAUGAGCUUAUCACAACGCGAAUCUAUCAAAGCCAAUGAACCAAAAUACUAAACUAUACUCAUGGCAAGAGUAAAACAUAUAAAAAAAAACAAAUUCUAAUGAUCUUUAUCCAAAAUUCCAACAUCUAAAAAAACAAAUUCUAAGAUCUUUAUCCAAAAUUCCAACAUAAAGCAAAAACAAAUGAAGGCAAGCCUCCAAAUUAAUUCAUGUAUAUAUCUAAAUUUCUAAAGAUUACAACAAACAAAAGAUAAUGAAGCACUAAUCAUGUAAUAUCAUUCUCUCAUUCAAAUAAUCAGUUCAAAUAACAGACUAAAAGUACGUGAUAGGAAGAUUUCAAAUGAUUUUGGAGCAAAAAAUACAAUGAAAGUGAAAUAAAUGACCAUUUUCAUGCGCAAAAAAAAAAAAAAAAUAGACAACAUGAUUAUAAAAGCUAAAGAAACCUCUUUAUUUAUUUGUUUGUUUAUUUUAUUCAAGGUCUUAUAGACAUUGCUGAAGGAGCCAAAUUCUGUGAGACUCGCUAAAGGAAUGAGAAGCCAAGAAACCUCGAGUUGAUCCGCAGCACAGCAUGUUCACUGCCCUAAUAACAUGAUCCACAGUACAGCAUGUUCAAAGUAGGACAGCAUGUUCACUGCCCUAGUAACGCAGUACCAAAUAUGCACUAGGACAAAUUUGGUUGAGGGACUACUAUCUUGCAACUAAAGCAAAGCGCAUUCAGUUUUCAUAAUUUUAUGCAACAUAGGUGAUGUUCAAAGUUCAUCUCCAUACAAUCAAAGGUAGUAACUAUUAGUUUUUCUAGUAAGGAGAAUGUUAACUUGUGCCCUUAAGGGCACAUGUUAAGAAGAUAAAUAUGGAAAAAAUUUAUUGAAC